rnacentral:rRNA from 1 species
GGACUCGCCGAAUUGCUCAGUAACACGUAGUCAAUCUACUCUUAGGUGAAGAAUAAUCUGGGAAACUGGGGCUAACGCUUCAUAGAUUCUGGAUGCUGGAAUGCGCCAAAAUUUAAAACUUCGGUGCCUAAGAAUGAGACUGCGACGUAUCAGGCAGUUGUGAGUGUAAAAUACUCACAAACCUAUAACGCGUAGGGGACAUGAGAGUGUGAGCCUCGAGUUGCAUUCUGAGACAUGAAUGCAGGUCCUACGGGACGCAGCAGUUGCGAAAACUUUCCAAUUCGUUAGCGCGUGAGAAGGGAAGCUUGAGUGGGUAUGUUUAACAUAUCCUUUUCUGGAGUACAAAAAGCUCCAGGAAUAAGUGGUGGGUAAGACAGGUGCCAGCCGCCGCGGUAAUACCUGCGCCACAAAUGGUGAUCACGCUUAUUGGGUUUAGAGUGCCCGUAGGCGGUCUAGCAAGUUCUUGGUGAAAUCUGGCAGCUAACUGUCAGGCGUGCCGAGAAUACUACUAGGCUUGAGACCGGGAGAGGAUAGGGGUAUUCCAUGUGUAGGGGUUAAAUCCUUUAAUCCAUGGAGGACC